rnacentral:rRNA from 1 species
UACGUAGGGUGCGAGCGUUGUCCGGAAUUACUGGGCGUAAAGAGCUCGUAGGUGGUUUGUCGCGUUGUUCGUGAAAACUCACAGCUCAACUGUGGGCGUGCGGGCGAUACGGGCAGACUGGAGUACUGCAGGGGAGACUGGAAUUCCUGGUGUAGCGGUGGAAUGCGCAGAUAUCAGGAGGAACACCAGUGGCGAAGGCGGCUCACUGGCCCGGUACUGACGCUGAGGUGCGAAAGCGUGGGGAGCAAACAGG